CGACCUGAGCUCAGGCAAGAUUACCCGCUGAACUUAAGCAUAUCAAUAAGCGGAGGAAAAGAAACCAACCAGGAUUCCCCUAGUAACGGCGAGCGAACCGGGAAAAGCCCAACUUGAAAAUCUCCCAUCAGGAGAAUUGUAGUCUACAGAAGUGCCGUCUUUGGCUAGGGGAGCUGAAGUCCGCUGGAAGGCGGCGUCAGAGAGGGUGAGAACCCCGUCAGCUCCCACUGUGCUAAUUCACGAGGUGCUUUCCACGAGUCGGGUUGUUUGGGAAUGCAGCCCAAACUUGGAGGUAAAUCCCUUCUAAGGCUAAAUAACGGCGAGAGACCGAUAGCGAACAAGUACCGUGAGGGAAAGAUGAAAAGAACUUUGAAAAGAGAGUUAAAAAGUGCUUGAAAUUGUUGAGGGGGAAGCGCUUGGGAGUCGUGGGUGCGCCUAGGCUUAUGCGUCUUUCACGAGCCGCUGUAUGUGCUAGGUGCUGGUCAACAUGAGUUACGCUGUCGGGAUAAUAGUCGAGAUUGUUGCUUGACCAAUGCCGAUGGUGUGACUGAGGUGUGAAG
rnacentral:rRNA from 1 species